rnacentral:lncRNA from 10 species
CUUCAAUUAGGUCUGGUGUCCAAGCCCCACCUCCAGAGUUGAGUUCUGCCUCCUGCCACAAUAGGAGAGUAAAUGGAGCUCUCCUGGAAAGGCUAGAUGGGGACGACCAGGAGAGGGUCCCGAGCAGUGGAGUGAGCAAAUCUAAGCCCUGCAGAUGGCUGCGGAUGCUGCUGCCCCAAUGCCUGCACAGGGUGAAAAGAAACCGCCAGGAAAUGGUGCAUUUUCCUGCUGCACCUUCCCACUCACCCACUUUCUUCUCCUCAUAAUCAACUGAACCUCCAAACUAAAAAAACACCUGCAGAAUAGACCAAGAAGUCCUUUUCCCUUCUGAUCCCUGAAUGGAAAGGAAUGCUAUGCACACUUUUUGGAUACAGGAAGUGAGAUUCAGAGGGGUUAAACAGCUUUCCUAAAGCCACACAGCGAGAGAGUCGAUCUGAACUGAAGAUUGUUUGACAUCAAAGCUCAUUUCUUUCCCUAAAUGUCAGCAUUCUUUCCUGACUUAUUAAUUUGAUUUCUGUCCUCCCCUCAUGGAAGUUAAUUAAAGGAAUGCGAGAACCUUUUAGAAAAUCUCCAGGGCAGCUUCUGUGUUGAUCAUUGUUUCACAAUCUCUUUUCCACCCAAUCCCCACCAGCCCUUUAGAUCUGUUUCUGUUAGGCCACAUCCCAGAGCUGCACAGAUCAGGGGAGAGAGAGCUCGCCGCUAAGGCAAGUCCUCUGUCAAAUGCAACAGGGACGAGGAAACCAUGCGCUCGCCUGUGGUUUACUAUGUGCCAGGAACUGUGUGGAUUGCUUAACAAAAAUCAACUUAGCUAAUCCUCAUAGUAAUGACACAAGGCAGGCAGGGUUUUGUUGUUGUUGUUUUUGGAGACUGAGUCUCGCUCUGUCUCCCAGGCUGGAGUGCAGUGGUGCGAUCUCCGCUCGCUGCAAGCUCCGCCUGUCAGGUUCACUCCAUUCUCCUGCCUCAGACUCCCGAGUAGCUGGGACCACAGGCGCCCACCACCACACCCGGCUAAUUCUUUUGUGUUUUUAUUAGAGACGGAGUUUCAC